GUCAGUGUGUCCGAGUGGUUAAGGAGACAGACUUGAAAUCUGUUGGGCUCUGCCCGCACAGGUUCGAACCCUGUCGCUGACG